GAUGAACGCUGGCGGCGUGCCUAAUACAUGCAAGUCGAGCGAACAGACGAGGAGCUUGCUCCUCUGACGUUAGCGGCGGACGGGUGAGUAACACGUGGAUAACCUACUUAUAAGACUGGGAUAAAUUCGGGAAACCGGAGCUAAUACCGGAUAAUAUAUUGAACCGCAUGGUUCAAUAGUGAAAGACGGUUUUGCUGUCACUUAUAGAUGGAUCCGCGCCGCAUUAGCUAGUUGGUAAGGUAACGGCUUACCAAGGCAACGAUGCGUAGCCGACCUGAGAGGGUGAUCGGCCACACUAGAACUAAGACACGGUCCAGACUCCUACGGAGGACAGCAGUAGGGAAUCUUCCGCAAUGGGCGAAAACCUGACGGAGCAACACCGCGUGAGUGAUGAAGGUCUUCGGAUCGUAAAACUCUGUUAUUAGGGAAGAACAAAUGUGUAAGUAACUAUGCACGUCUUGACGGUACCUAAUCAGAAAGCCACGGCUAACUACGUG
rnacentral:rRNA from 1 species